UCUGCCUUCUAUAUCUUCACAACAGCCACAUGCAGUAGGUUAGGCUGAGAGCUGGUGGCUGGCCCAGUGAAGAUUCCUUCUAACUUCACCAGCAGGAAAGACCAGACAUCAGAAAGGAAAAAGUCUAAAAGACAGGAACAGUUGCCUUGUCUCUCUCUCAUUACAUCAGUGGUUAUAAUGAGCCCACCCUUUCCACAAGUUUAAGUUUUAAGUACUUUGGGGGGAAAGUACAGUCCUGCACAAGACAGGAUUCUUGAUGGCUGGGGCAGCAGCAUGCAAGCAUCUUCAUCGACUAACUCUUUUCAGCUGUGGAAUUUCUGCAAUGGGUGCUAUCCUUGUUUCUACUCCACCUACAACAAUCAUACCUGACGGUUGUUUAGUUCUAAUCUCAUAACCUUUCUUAGGCACAGUGGAAGGGAUCAAGGAAUAGUAUGAGCUAGUAGUGCAAUUUCAAGUAGGGAGAAAUUGAGUUGCAAGUUGUUAUCGUUAUCCAAUUGAUAUAGAUCCUCAAAGAUCUGGGAUCCACUGAUCUAAAAGGUGCAUUUUAAUAAAUGUUUAUUCAUUCUUCUUGUAGCUUUCACUGGGUUCUGAAGAUAUAAAAGCCAACUAUAA